CUUAUGUAUCCGUCCUUGUCUCUGGAAAUACACAAGUUGUCAACAUCCGUUUUCUCUAACUUUCCCUGGAAAUUGACCGCUAACUUUUUAAUGAGUAUUACUUGGUCAUGUUGGUGCUAUAGAACAUUAUAAUGCUGUGAAAUGGUAUACAGUAUGUCCCUUAAGUUAUUUUUGUAAGUUUCAAACAUUAAAUACUACUAAAAAAUUGAAUUAAAUUUUAGUACAAAGUGAUCACAUUGACACAUACUGUAUUUUUAAUUUAAAUUAUUUGCGAAUAUCCAUGACCAGCAAAUUCAAAUUCAAAUAUAUUUUAUUGCUAAUCAAAGCGCCCACAAGGAGCAGAACAAUCAACAUUAAUUACAUACAAAUGAUUACAAGUGAUUCAAUAUGAUUAAGACACAAUGUUAUAAAAAAAAAAAAAAAAAAAAAUAUUUAUUAAGACAAGUAGAAGAAUACAACAAGCACAGUGUUUAAUAAUAUAAUUAGGUUAAAAAAGGGGGGUCACUGGACAUUACUAUAUAUAUAUAUAUCAUUUAAGGAAACUUUCCUAUAUGAGGAUAAAUUUUCCAAUAAUUCUCUGAGUUUCUGGAGUAUGAAAAUAUCUUCAGAGGACAUUAGCCA
rnacentral:lncRNA from 1 species